rnacentral:rRNA from 1 species
UACAGAGGGUGCAAGCGUUAAUCGGAAUUACUGGGCGUAAAGCGUGCGUAGACGGUUGCGUAAGUCAGAUGUGAAAGCCCCGGGCUCAACCUGGGAAUUGCAUUCGAGACUGAAUAGCUAGGGUACGGUAGAGGGAAGUGGAAUUUCCGGUGUAGCGGUGAAAUGCGUAGAUAUCGGAAGGAACAUCAGUGGCGAAAGCGACUUCCUGGACCAGUACCGACGUUCAGGCACGAAAGCGUGGGGAGCAAACAGG